GAGCCAGAGGUUCUUGGGCUCCACUGCAUGUGGCUGGACGAGAACCAGGCCCAGGGUCAUCUGCUCUUUAUGUUUUAAAAGAAACCAGACAUUUGCAUUUUUAGCAUAAUCCCUGAUGGAUAUUGGCAACGGAUUCCAUUUUUUUCCUUCUUGUUUAAUGCCAUGUCUGAACUAAACAAAACACUCCUCUGUGUGGAUUUAUCCUUUGAACCUUGCUGUCCCUGCUCAUGAAUGAAGUAAUGAGAGUGAUAAUAACAAAUCAAUAAUAAUAAUUUUACCAAAAUGUGUAAUAUUUAUUUGUUUUGCUGUGCGCCUGGCGUGAUUCCCCGUCCCUAGCUGUGCCAUCUCCUGCAGCCUUGAGAAGCCGGGAGGGCUCACAAAGGUUCACAAGGGAGGGCAAAUGCCACGCCCACGGCCGAUGCCACGCCCACGACCACGCCCACGGUUGCCCCACCAACAGCCACAGCCACGCCCAUACCUGGCCUCAGGCCCAAAGCUACGGCCACGCCCAUACAGCAACUCCCUGCAACCCACAGCCACGCCCACGCAUAGUUUCAGCCCAUACCCACACAGUCCCGCCCAUUACCACGCCCAUACGGUCCCGCCCAUCGCCACGCCCACAGCUGUACUGCCACGCCCACACUCACACAGCCUGCCCACUGCCACGCCCACAGCCCCUGUCACGCCCUUGCCCACACUGUCCUGGCCACCGGCCCGCCCAUAUCCGCGUGCUAGCACCUGUUGGGGCUCAGCCUUUUCUCCUUCCGCUGUCUCUACCAUGCUGAUUGCCCCGAUGCGGAAGGGUGGGGCAGGGUGGGACCUGGAACCCACCCACACUGAGUCCCGGAGUGUCCCCGCCUGGGUUGUUGCAGAUCAUAGCAGACAGCAGGGUAACAUGCAGGAAGCCGGGUUUUAUAGGGCAGUCACAGACCAUGCUAGCCCUAGCCGCUUAAAUAUAAGUGCACCUGACCCUCCCGUGGACACCACCCGUGGACCUUAGCAUCCUGGUUCGACUUCCAGACUGCACAGCUGGUGGGGACAGAGGCAGGAUUCAAACUUGGGUCUGGGGGGCUUAAGGCCUCCGAAAGCUCUUCUGGUCUGGCGGUUCACGCUGACCCUGUGAGUGACAGACAGGGCCUCGGGCUCAGCAUCUCUCCUGAACUUUUGUUUUCUAAAUUUUCCACAGUGAACAUGUGUUUCUUUAAUCAGAAAAGAUAACAGAAGUCAUGGGUUCAUUCUGCAUUCAAGCUGGUAGCCAGAGCUGCGGUUGCUCCUCCUCCCCCCUCCCUCCCUCCCUUCUUCCUCCCUCCCCCUUUUCCUUCCACCCCCCCUUCCCUUUGCUCCCCACAUUAUUUUCUGGUUAUGGCGUGUGCCAACGCGUUUUUCUCUAGGGUAGAGUUGUACAUUUCUCUUUUAAAUAAUCUAUUCAAGUAAACACAGCGUAACUAAUAGCAUGAGAUAUACACAGGUAUGCCAAAAAAAUAUGAAGGGCUUUGGAGGGAUGACUAAUUUAGGAUUUUCCUUUUCAGCCCUCAGACAAGAGGUGCUUAUUUCCCUGGGAAUGGCUGGUUUUUAAAUUUUUUUUUAUUAUUAUUUUUUUCCUGGUUUCUGGUGAGGUUCUAGAGAGCACGGAAACAGUUUCUCUGACCCAUCAGUCAGCUCUGAUUGAUUGAUGGGGACGACAGGAAGAUGGUUGGAGAUGCUGAGGCUGCGCCUGGGUCAGGAGGCAGGUUCUGUGGUCAGCUAGCCGUGCCUGGGGCAGAUGCAGGAGGGAGAAGUGGCAUCAUGAGCCAGGUGUCUGCCAUCGCUGACCUGGACUGGUGCUUCACCCACCUUCAGCCGUGGCGAUGACCACCACGUGCGAGCAGUAGCACCCUGCGGGUAUCGCGUGCUCCAUUCAUACCAGGCAUCGCGCUAAAGAGACACAUGUGCCAUGUCUCAUUUUGUCCCUAUGACACCUCUUUGCGUUAGGGUCCACAUAGUUUCUGUUUCAUAGAGGAGAACACAGACACCUUGUGGGUGAGUGGCUAACACAAGACCACCCAACAGGUGAGCCAUUGAGGUGGGAUACGGACCCAGGGCAUCUGACUCUCGAGCCCCCACCACUGGCGUCCACACUGCACGCCGGACACACAGCAGUCUCACAGGCCUGUUGAGCGUGUGUGAAGCCUGGUCUCCACUCCGCAGUCACCUUGGCCGUAGGCAUUCUCAAUAGUCUGUGUAUCAGGGACAUUGGCGUCCAGUGCACUGGAGUCUUUGUGAAGCAAAGGAGUCGUGGUCACUCUGUCUUAUCACCCUGACCACUAGAUUGGGCCAAGAGGGGGAUAUGCAGGUACUGGGACCUGUCACCUGCCAAGCCGAAGCCAGAGGACAGCACGGUCCUCAUCGCUGUCUCUCCACCCCUGCGGUUAGCUUCCCUCCCUGGCCCCCAUCUGAUUUCUGCUGAGAUUCCAGAGUAGCCCACAUCCUUAGCUACUUCACUUCUAUGACCAUGAAGGAGCCCCCAAUCGUUUUGGAAGCCUGCGCCCUUCCUCUUACACGGUGGACAGGUCUCCCCGGGUUCUGUUCAUUCAAUCCUUUUCUCUGAGUGUUCUUUUGGCACCUGGUGAGUGAGGGUUUUUCCUCCUGAUAGUUUGUAAUUUUGGUUCCACUGCUGACCUCAGGAAUUCGGUUGCAAGUGUGCUUGGGUCCAUCGCGACAGCUGCUGCACCAGCCUGUGACCAGCCCUUAGCCCUUUAGCUGCGGACGUUCCGAAGCCCGAUUAGGCCCUGGGGGAGAUGAUGUUAGAGUCCAGGAAAGUGAAUUUCACUGCAUUCUUUAAAAACUCACCAGAUUUAAGUUUUGCACACUUUUCAAAGGUCCCCCUGCCUCCAGGAACAAUUCUUCUGUAACUGUCACGUGGAGAUGGUACUUGGAAGGGGCCCUCUGAUGCCUCUUUCUCCCUCUUCUCCCAUCGUAGGUGACAGUUCCCUGGGAAUCGGGCUGUUCCCCCCGCCACACCCCCCGCCCCCGUUGGGCCAGGUGGCAUUUGCCAGGCUGGUGCUCUCAGACAGUACCAUUCCGAGUGUUGCACUAAGGAUCAAAGCACAUGCCAGGCAGAUGUGGGUGACAUCGUGCACAUUGGCUUAACGUGGGACGGUUUCCUGGAGUGGCUCCAGGAAACAUUUGGUACAGAUCGAGAUCGCCUGUCCCCAGAUGCCUUCUUGGUUUCUGCGGAACCAAAUAUGAUUAGAGACAGAGGAUGCUGGGUUUGGAGAGCGGGUUUCUGUGGCCACAUGUGGGCAUUCAGACCCGCGGAAUGCCAUUAAAGUGGCAUCAGGCUGCCCCAUACCCCGCACGGGCCAGAGGGCUCCAGAUCGCCAGCCCCCCGUGUCUAAGGUGUUGGGGUUUGGGCAAGCAGGCUUUUAUUUUCACCAUUAUUUAUCUUUUUUCUUGGCAUCAUCUUCCGUGUCCUCUGCACAGAAUGUUUCAGGAUGUCAUCUGAGGACUGCGACCCCUCCCAGAGAAGGGCCACGUUCAGAGCUGGGCUCCGCUCAGCUUUCCGCUCUGUACAAGGCAACCCGUACUCUUUGCCUGCCAUGAAGGGAUCUGGUGAGGAUUAAAUGAGAUAAUGCGGGAGGAUUAUCUAGCCUGGGCCUGGCCCCCGCCCUGGAAGCACACAAGAAGGUCAGCUCGAACAGUUAUCAGCAGCCAUUCUGCACGCACGGCCUUCUCCAUGUUCUCCCCGGGAGCGCGCGUGUCACAGAGGGAGGGAGGUCGUCUGGAUUGCUCUCCUCCCUGUGUGACCAGGCAGUUGGAUAGACCCUGCUCUUCUGUCUUGGGAGUUCAACGGGGAUGUCAGCUCCUCAGAGGACAGCAAGGGAGACUCACAUUGUAUUUCUGAACUGUCACAUAGUUCUGCAGUGUAUCUCUCUCUCUCUUUCUCUUUUUUGGUAAUGGGGACUGAACCCAGGGUUGCUUAACCCCUUAGUCACAUUCCAAGCCCUUUUAAUUUUUUAUUUUGACACAGUUUCUUAGGUCUUCUCCAAGUUGCCAAGGCUGGCUUCAAACUUACAGUCCACCAGCCUGAGCCUCCCGAGUCCCUGGGAUUAGAGGUGUGUGCCACCACCCUGGCCUCCGGCAUAUCUCAUUUAAUCAUAAUGUAUUGAGGCCAUGUCUCAGCCCUCCUGUCCACUGGAAGUAACGUCCUCUCUGCAGUCCUACCCCUACUCCAGGAAACUCCCCAGGGCCAAUCUCUGCUUUCCAUUUUGAUAGAAUGACCUUGUUCCUCGCCCACAGCUUAGAAGCUGAAUGUGAUUGCAGUAGCUUUAAGUAAAAUCAUCAACUUCCAUUUAGCAAACCUGACGUGGUCCCUACUCUGCGCGGGCCACCAGGCCUGGAGACCGGGGCAUUCUGAGCUCACAGCUGCAGAACACUUUGAAGGUCAAGGUGCUGCAGUGGUUUGGGACUCUGGGGCCACACAGCCUGGGUUUGCAUCCCUCCACCUCUUCCUGUCUGUGUGAGCUCAGGCAAGUGGCUGUACCUCUCUGAGCCUCCAUGUCCUGAUUUCUGAGAUGGAAGGAAGUGAAGUUAUGCGCGUCUCUUGCUUAGAAGUCAUCCCAGAGGUGCACAGGGAGGGUCCAGCCGCUCACAGGCGGGGAGGGAAACGGAGUUGGUGAGAGACGGUCAGGCCCUGGCCAGAGGGCACUGGGCUUUUAGCGCACUGGACGCCCUCCUGCCUAGGCUGGACACUGGCACAUAGUAGGGCCUUUGUAAAUGCUGGUGGAAUGAAUCGUGAAGACUCCUGAGGUCCCGUCCUGUAGGGUCGUUGACCUCCCCAGCUCUGAGGUUGGACUUGGGUGCACUGACCCACAGCCGCCUGCAGUCAGGGGCAGGGCCUGGCACAGCCCGGGCCCGUGUCCUGUGGCUGCUUCCUUCUCAGCAGCUGCUGCUUCCUCUUUUAAAACUUUCUUUGUGGUAGAGAAGGCGUGGAGGUGCCGGGCUCUGCGGGGACUGGGCCUUGGAAGGAGAAGUUUCCGGAAGGUCAGAAAUUGAAGAAAUGCACUUACUGUUGGACACUUAAUAUUGGAAAGCACUGUGGAUGGACCUCCAUGGCCAGAAAGAAGGGGGGGGGUCUUGGAAGGGAAUCCGUGGAGCCCCGGGAGUGUGAUGACGUGCUGUCCCCUCUCCUUUGAGGCUGGGAGAUGCCUCGUUCCAGGAUGUGCCCAGAAUAACGUUCACCCGAACACCGCUUGACAUUGACGGUGACGGUGACGGAGACAGUCCAACCCCAGCUGGGGCCGGGAGGAGGAGGGCUGCGAGCCAGGGCAGGCCACCGCAGGACUGUCCACUUCGAUAAAGCCCCGGCUUAGAAAACCCCAGACACGCUAAAGUGGAUACUGUGUUGGGAUUUACGCCAUGCUCUGUGAGGGGCAGCCCCAGCCCCAUAAAUACAUGUCCGAAAUCCAAAUGGAAUGUUAAGGGCGCCAAAUGGAGUUCUCAAAAGGACUGGAGCUAAGAUGUAGUUUGCUGGCCCUUGAUAAGCUCAGCCGCGCUUGCACUGGGGGAGACGGGGGGAAAGAGAGAGAGAGAGAGAGAGAAAAGAAAUGGAGUUCAGAUUUCACUGUAUUCUCCAGUAUCUUAAGAUAUUUUCUUUUUUCAAUGAAAAGAGAGGAAGAGAUUACCAGGCCUCUGGGUGUGAAGCUAGUUCUCAUCUAGACACCUCUGCGGGGACAAAGGGAUGCUGUCACCCACCAGCUAGAGCCCAGUCCAGGCUCCCGCUAUAGCUGGUGGGCGUGGCCACCCGGCCAGCACCCUGAGAACCAGGGCUGAUGUCCUUCCCCGGGUCCCAACCCCCAGUUCUGCCCUGGACUUUGAGCUGGCUGCCGCCUGCGAGUGUGUUUGUAGGUGGGGGGGCCGGCUGAGGGCAGAAGGCCACGGGGUUGGGUCCCUCCCGACCCUGCCUGGGGCCUGGGGGCUCUGUGCUUUCCCAACGGCUGGAAAUACUGUUCUUCCGAUGGAAGGGCUUUGUGACAGGUCCCAGUUCCUUCAGAUUCUCUUGGCCCACUUCAAAGCAAGCUGAAGCCCAGUCCUCAGGGUUUCCAUUUACUUCCAGGCACCGGGAGGGACUUCUGGCUUCAGAGAGUCCCCGAUCAGGGUGUCCACAGGCUUCCCACAGCGUGCCACCCUGGAGAGCUUGGCUCUCAGCGAGGCAGGUUCCAGUGCCGCCAACGGUCAGGCCUCUGUCCCCUGGACCCUCCCUCCUGCUUCCCCUGGGGGUGAGGCCUUCGAAAGCUGGAGGCUGGGACUGGACUGGAGCUAAUCAUUGGGUCUCAAAGGCACCUUUGAGGGCAGUGUCCUCCGCCCUCAUGGUGCCCUGAUGGAGCCAGUAUCACUGUCAGAGUCACAGCUGGGCCCUGCGGCAUCUUCUCGUCCCUGGACGAGACAGUUAUCUCCAGAGGACUUGCUGCGGCCUCACCUGGACCGACCACCUGUCUUUGGGUGUGUUGCGCUCAGGCCUCCUGAGUUACCUAAGAGCUGGGGGAAGUGAAAUGUGAAAAAGAAAAAGCAAUGGAAACCUUUCAUUUUUUUCCCCUGAAAAACUAUAAUAGCAAAUUUAUGGAUUUGAACAUGAAAAAAAAUUAUAUAUUUCAGUAACAAAAAUUUAUACCUUUUAAGGGUUCUAUCCAGGGAAGGUUAGGGAAUCGAUUGAGCUGUGGAACCAUCUCCGUAAUCUAGUUUUAGAUUCCCUGUGUGUGCUGGAGUCAUUCCCCAGGCCCCCGGUCAUCUGCUGUGGGUGAAGGUCCUGUUCUGGACCUUACAUAUAAAUGGAAGCGUCUGGCUCCUCUCACUUAGCGUGAUGUUUUGUAGGUCAGGGCACAUCCCACUGUCAGGGUGCGCCAUAUUGGAUCGAUCCACUCACCAUUUGAUGGAUGCUCGGGCUGUCCACUCUCUGGCUUCUGUGAGCCUACGCACAGGAGUUUAUGCAUGGACUGGUCUUCGUUUCUCUUGGGUGGGUUCCAGGGAAGGGACUUAUCAGGUCAUAUGGCAAAUGUAUAUAGAACUUUUUUUAAAAAAAAUCAUCAAACUGUUUUCCAAAGUGGCGAUAUCAUUCCACCAACAGUGUAUAAAGUGGACCCUUCCAUUUUUGAUCCUUCCGUAAGCUGAAUGGUGAAGAGAUUUACUAGAGACUUCUGCAUGUGAAAUCCAAACAUGGGACCCUGCCUGUGGGGAAACUGACACCCUGCAAGAGCGUCAACUUCGGUUCCGACGUGAGCUUCCCCAGCCUGCUCCAGAGCUCUCAGACCCCACAGGGAUCCGGACCGGGGCUCCUUCUCCACCCCCCGGGCUGGUCUCCCCAGCCACACUCCCCUGCAGACUGUCACAUUCCAAAGAGGAUUCACUUUUACCACAAGUGCCCUGGGUCACACUGUUGCUAAUUUAGCGACUUUUAUUGGACAAUGUGAUUGACCCUCCACGGCCUGCCUUCAGAUGGAUUUAUCACCUGCAUUGAUUGCUCUCUGUUGCUGUUCACCGCUUGCCAGCCAAUGCACAGCCCUGCUUAAAAACCCGGGUAGCGUUUUGCCUUCUGAUAAUGAUACUGAACUCCCUCCUCCAUCGCCAAUGACAUGGUAUUCCACUUUUUGAAGAUGGACUUAAAUUGCAUAACUCCUUUUCCAUGGUGAUGAGAAAAUAAAUUACUUUUCUCUAUCGCUA